rnacentral:rRNA from 1 species
AAGGGCCGCAGUAUUCUGACUGUGCGAAGGUAGCAUAAUCAUUAGGUUUUUAAUUGGGAUCUUGUAUGAAUGAUUGGACAAAAGGAAGACUGUCUUUAUAUUAAAAUUUGAAUUUAACUUUUAAGUGAAAAGGCUUAAAUUUUCUAAAGGGACGAUAAGACCCUAUAAAACUUUACAUUAAAAUUAAUAUUUUAUUGAAUUUUUAUUAUAAUAAUUUAAUUUAAUUUUUUGUUAUGUUGGGGAGACAAAAGCUAUAAUUUAUGUUAACUGCUUGGGAGAAAAACAAUAAUAAAUGAGUUUAGGUUUAUAGAUCCUUUAUAAAGAUUAAAAGAUUAAGUUACUUUAGGGAUAACAGCGUUAUUUUUUUUUAGAGUUCAUAUCAAAAAAAAAGAUUGCGACCUCGAUGUUGAAUUAAAAUAUCUUUAUAAUGUAGGUGUUAUAAAAAAAAGUCUGUUCGACUUUUAAUUUUUUACAUGAUC